GAUGAAGAACGUAUCGAAAUGCGAUACUUGGUGUGAAUUGCAGAAUCCCGUGAACCAUCGAGUCUUUGAACGCAAGUUGCGCCCGAAGCCACUAGGCCGAGGGCACGCCUGCCUGGGCGUCACACGCCGUUGCCCCCCCAUCUACUCCUUCGGGAUUGCGGGGGGGCGGAUGAUGGCCUCCUGUGCGCCUAGCCGCGCGGUUGGCAUAAAUACCAAGUCCUCGGCGACGCACGCCACGACAAUCGGUGGUUGCGAAACCUCGGUUGCCCGUCGUGUGCGUUCGUCGCGCAUCGAGGGCUCGAAAAAAUGCUCGGCUCCGGCUGGGCUUUCAACGCGACCCCAGGUCAGGCGGGGUUACCCGCUGAAUUUAAGCAUAUCAAUAAGCGGAGGA
rnacentral:misc_RNA from 1 species